UACAGAGGGGGCAAGCGUUGUUCGGAAUUACUGGGCGUAAAGGGCGCGUAGGCGGCCUUCUAAGUCGAACGUGAAAUCCCCGGGCUCAACCCGGGAACUGCGUCCGAUACUGGAAGGCUUGAAUCCGGGAGAGGGAUGUGGAAUUCCAGGUGUAGCGGUGAAAUGCGUAGAUAUCUGGAGGAACACCGGUGGCGAAGGCGGCGUUCUGGACUGUUUCUGACACUGAAAAACGAAAGCCAGGGGAGCAAACGGG
rnacentral:rRNA from 1 species